GCGGUUGCUUUCGUAGCUCAAUUUGGUCAGAGCGUCCGACUUUUACGAGUAAAAGAUCAUCGGAAGGCUGUGGGUUCGAGUCCCACCGAUCGCG